rnacentral:rRNA from 1 species
UACAGAGGUCCCAAGCGUUGUUCGGAUUCACUGGGCGUAAAGGGUGCGUAGGCGGUCGGGUAAGUCUGAUGUGAAAGCCCCGGGCUCAACCUGGGAAUGGCAAUGGAUACUGGCGAGCUAGAGUGUGUCAGAGGAUGGUGGAAUUCCCGGUGUAGAGGUGAAAUUCGUAGAUAUCGGGAGGAACACCGGUGGCGAAGGCGGCGAUCUGGGUCGAUACUGACGCUGAGGUGCGAAAGCGUGGGGAGCAAACAGG